rnacentral:rRNA from 1 species
GACGAACCGUGCGAACGUUAUUCGGAAUCACUGGGCUUAAAGCGCGUGUAGGCGGGUCGGCACGUCGGCCGUUGAAAUCCCCCGGCUCAACCGGGGAAGGGGCGCCGAUACGACCGUCCUGGAGGAACGUAGGGGGAGCUGGAACUUCCGGUGGAGCGGUGAAAUGCGUUGAGAUCGGAAGGAACGCCCGUGGCGAAAGCGAGCUCCUGGACGUUUUCUGACGCUGAGACGCGAAAGCCAGGGGAGCGAACGGG